CCUAGUAGUAUAGGAUAGCCACUAGAAAUGGUGGGUAAUACUGUAUAAUCCCUGCGGGGGAAAGAUUUAUCGCUAUUGGAUGAGCCUAUGUUAGAUUAGCUAGUUGGUAGGGUAAAGGCCUACCAAGGCAGUGAUCUAUAGCUGGUCUGAGAGGAUGAUCAGCCACACUGGAACUGAGAUACGGUCCAGACUCCUACGGGAGGCAGCAGUGGGGAAUAUUGGACAAUGGGCGCAAGCCUGAUCCAGCUAUGCCGCGUGAGUGAGGAAGGCCUUAGGGUUGUAAAACUCUUUCAGUGGGGAAGAUAAUGACGGUACCCACAGAAGAAGUCCCGGCAAACUCCGUGCCAGCAGCCGCGGUAAUACGGAGGGGGCAAGCGUUGUUCGGAAUUAUUGGGCGUAAAGGGCAUGUAGGCG
rnacentral:rRNA from 1 species